rnacentral:tRNA from 1 species
AAAGCAAUCGUCUAAGGGUAAGACGCCGUCAUUAAAAGUUUUGAAAUUACCAGGAGGUCAAUUAAAACUUACUGCUUACAGGGGGCGGAGUUACCGGUUCGAGUCCGGUUUGCUUUA